GAUGAAAGAACGCAGCGAAAUGCGAUAAGUAGUGUGAAUUGCAGAAUUCAGUGAAUCAUCGAAUCUUUGAACGCACAUUGCGCCCCUUGGUACUCCAUGGGGCAUGCCUGUUCGAGCGUCAUUUACACCCUCAAGCUCAGCUUGGUGUUGGGCGUCUGUCCCGCUUCGUGCGCGGACUCGCCUCAAAUGCAUUGGCAGCGGUCUUGCCAGCUUCUCGCGCAGCACAUUGCGCUUCUAGAGGCUUUGGCGGAUCGGCGUCCAUCAAGUACACCCACAGUUUGACCUCGGAUCAGGUAGGGAUACCCGCUGAACUUAAGCAUAUCAAUAAGCGGAGGA
rnacentral:misc_RNA from 1 species